UUAGGAAUAUUCGUCAAUGGGGGAAACCCUGAACGAGCAAUGCCGCGUGAGUGAUGAAGGCCCUUCGGGUCGUAAAACUCUGUUGUGAAGGAAGAACACCUACCAUAGGUAAUGGUGGUAGGCUGACGGUACUUCGCCAGAAAGCUCCGGCUAACUACGUGCCUGCAGCCGCGGUAAUACGUAGGGAGCGAGCGUUAUCCGGAUUUAUUGGGCGUAAAGCGUGUGUAGGCGGUUUAUUAAGCCUAAGAUUAAAGCCCGAGGCUUAACCUCGGUUCGUUUUAGAAACUGGUAGACUUGAGUGUGGUAGAGGUAAGUGGAAUUUCUAGUGUAGCGGUUAAAUGCGUAGAUAUUAGAAGGAACACCAGUGGCGAAGGCGGCUUACUGGGCCAUUACUGACGCUGAGACACGAAAGCGUGGGGAGCAAAUA
rnacentral:rRNA from 1 species